rnacentral:rRNA from 1 species
CCUACGGGUGGCUGCAGUGAGGAAUAUUGGUCAAUGGACGCAAGUCUGAACCAGCCAUGCCGCGUGAAGGAUGAAGGCCUUCUGGGUUGUAAACUUCUUUUAUGUGGGAAGAAACCUCUGAUUUCUAUUAGAGUUGACGGUACCAUAGGAAUAAGCACCGGCUAACUCCGUGCCAGCAGCCGCGGUAAUACGGAGGGUGCAAGCGUUAUCCGGAUUUACUGGGUUUAAAGGGUGUGUAGGCGGGCCUUUAAGUCAGUGGUGAAAUCUCCGAGCUU